GCCCUGCUGCACUAGUUCAAGUGUAGAACUCUCUCCAGAAACCAUAAUAGAUGGGUGUAAUCUCUAGUGAAAAUGAAUACAUUUUCUUGAUCAUUUGGAGACAGGAGCUGUUUUGGAGUAAGGAAACCCUCUGCGAACAGGCGCACAGGAGAGAGUGUUCUCUGUGUAUCCAGCCUGGUGAAAGGGAAUAGAAUCUGGGUACCAGACAAAAAUCCUGCUCUCAAGGACCUGGUUUGGGAGUUGUGGGGGAAGCCGAAAAGUCAUGGCCCAAAGGGGUGACUGAAGGGUCAGAAGAAACAAAGAUCGCCAAACAUCUACCAGUGACUGUGAAGCUUCAAGGACACUCAGCUUCAAGGACUUCAAGGAAAUCAGAUGCUAGAGACAGUGAAACAGAAAGAACUGCUUAAACAUUGGUUACUUCAUCUGUGACAGGAAGAUACUAUUUAUAACAUGGAGAUGAUGAACAAUUCAAUCUUUGCUGGCAAAAUAGCUCAGUGGGUACUAGAGCUUUCCACCAACCCUGAAGACCUGAGUUUAAUUCCCAAGACCCACAUGGUAGAAGGAAAAAAUUGUCUCCUGCAAAUUGUCCUCUGGUCUCCACAUUAAAGGCUCAGCAAGUUAAAACACAAAUUCACACACGCUAAAAAACUGUAAUAAAAAAUUUUAAAGACCUUUUUUUUUAAUUUAAAAAUUGGAACAGAUAUAUUGAGCUCCCACCGUGUGUGACAAAUUGCAAUCACACCUGAUUUGUUUAACUGUACAUAUAUUUGUGUGCCUGACUUGUUACUGUGCAUAUAUUUGUGGGCUUGAAUUGUUAGUGUUCAUACCUUUGUGUACCUGAUUGUUGCUGUGCAUACAUUUAUGCAUCUGAAUUGUUACUGUGCAUAUAUUUGUGUAUCUUUUAUUGCCUGAACCAAGAAGCAUCAAAUCCAGCAGAGGAGAUCAUGGAGAUAAGAACCAGCUUGGAUGAGUAUUCUACCUCAUCACAAGUCUGCUUUCUGUUGUCUUACUUUUUUUGAUGGUUAUUAUAUUUGACUUUGAAUUUUACAAAAUAUAUGUGCUCAGUUUAUCAUAAGCUUUGUGGAUUCUGCAUUUUCCACACAAAUCUUAAUUCCUCCUCUCCCUUAAACUACUGAUUUAUUCUUCUUCAAAAUAUAUAGCUUAAUACUUAAUCAGUGCCAACCAAUAUGACAAUGUCAACCUUUUUAUUUUCUACAUGCAUAUAAGUACCUUUUACCUGUGUUGUAACAGUUGACAGAUUCCAUAAGUUCCAAUGAUUUUAGGUACAAAAAUAUAAAGGCUUAUAUAAGAACAUCUUUGCAAUGUUUUAUAUUGAUCCUCAUUAAAUUCACUGCUGAUUGUUUUUUAAUUUUAAGUGAUACUUUUUCUGCAGGCAGCUCCUAUCAGUUUUACUAACUCUGUUAUCCACCUGAGAUACAGUUCGUUGUUAUCCAGUUUAUUAAAAUGAAAUAAAAAAUGUCUC